rnacentral:rRNA from 1 species
CCUCGGGAAACUGAGAAUAAUGCCCCAUAGUUCACCACGCCUGGAACGGUGGGUGGAUGAAAGCUCCGGCGGCAUAGGAUGGGCCUGCGGCGUAUCAGGUUGUAGGGGGUGUAAUGUACCCUCUAGCCAUCUACGCGUACGGGUGUUGAGAGACAUCGCCCGGAGAUGGAUUCUGAGACACGAAUCCAGACCCUACGGGGUGCAGCAGGCGCGAAAACUUGGCAAUGCGAGCAAUCGUGACCAGGGAACUCCAAGUGCAUCGGGUAAUACCGAUGCUUUUCUUGACUCUUCAAAGGUCUUGGAAUAAGGGGUGGGUAAGGACGGUGCCAGCCGCCGCGGUAAUACCGGCGCCUCAAGUGGUAGUCGCUUUUAUUGGGCCUAAAACGUCCGUAGCCGGUUUGGUACAUUCGUGGGUAAAUCAAGACGCUCAACGUCUUGAAUUCUGCGAGCACGGCCAGACUUGGGACCGGGUGAGGUGUGGGGUACUCUCAGGGUAGGGGUAAAAUCCUGUCAUCCUGAGAGGACCACCUGUUGCGAAGGCGCCACACUAGAACGGAUCCGACGGUCAGGGACGAAGCCUAGGGGCACGAACCGGAUUAGAUACCCGGGUAGUCCUAGGUGUAAACGCUGUGGACUUGAUGUUGGGAGUGCUCCGAGCACCCUCAGUGUCGAAGCGAAGGUGAUAAGUCCACUGCCUGGGGAGUACGGUCGCAAGGCUGAAACUUAAAGGAAUUGGCGGGGGAGCACUGCAACCUGAGGAUUGUGCGGUUUAAUUGGAUUCAACGCCGGA